AGUGAACGCUGGCGGUAGGCCUAACACAUGCAAGUCGAACGGCAGCACAGUAAGAGCUUGCUCUUACGGGUGGCGAGUGGCGGACGGGUGAGGAAUACAUCGGAAUCUACUUUUUCGUGGGGGAUAACGUAGGGAAACUUACGCUAAUACCGCAUACGACCUACGGGUGAAAGCAGGGGAUCUUCGCACCUUGCGCGAUUGAAUGAGCCGAUGCCGGAUUAGCUAGUUGGCAGGGUAAAGGCCCACCAAGGCGACGAUCCGUAGCUGGUCUGAGAGGAUGAUCGGCCACACUGGAACUGAGACACGGUCCAGACUCCUACGGGAGGCAGCAGUGGGGAAUCUUGGACAAUGGGCGAAAGCCUGACGCAGCAAUACCGCGUGGGUGAAGAAGGCCUUCGGGUUGUAAAGCCCUUUUAUUGGGAAAGAAAAGCAGCAGGUGAAAACCCCGCUGUUCUGACGGUACCCAAAGAAUAAGCACCGGCUAACUUCGUG
rnacentral:rRNA from 1 species